CCGCCCCCGCCAGAGGCAGAAGCGGCCGCCGCCGCCUAGGUCCCCUUAACCUCGGAGGAGAAACAGCUGCCCAAUGAAAUUGAUGCAGCUUGCCCUCUUAAAAGACCUGAAUGGGAUUUUACCACUGAAGCAGUUUAUAAUGUCAGACAGACUGCCAGAUCCUGACAAUGACUCGAAGAUUACAGGCACCUCAGUUCCUGCACCUGGACCAAUGAGCAGAUGCUCAGAUAUGAAACCUGCCGCCUGCCAGAACCUGGCCGAGACUGUGAACAAAGCUGCUGGGCACUGG
rnacentral:lncRNA from 1 species